rnacentral:rRNA from 1 species
GACGUAGGGCGCAAGCGUUUGUCCGGAUUUAUUGGGCGUAAAGAGCUCGUAGGCGGCUUGUCGCGUCGACUGUGAAAACCCGUGGCUCAACCAUGUGGUCUGCAGUCGAUACGGGCAGGCUAGAAUUCGGUAGGGGAGACUGGAAUUCCUGGUGUAGCGGUGAAAUGCGCAGAUAUCAGGAGGAACACCGGUGGCGAAGGCGGGUCUCUGGGCCGAUAUUGACGCUGAGGAGCGAAAGCGUGGGGAGCGAACAGG